UGCGUAGGCGGAAUGAUAAGUUAGUGGUGAAAGCCCCCGGCUCAACCGGGGAACUGCCAUUAAUCCUGUCAUUCUUGAGUAUAGUUGAAGUGGGCGGAAUGUAUCAUGUAGCGGUGAAAUGCUUAGAUAUGAUACAGAACACCGAUAGCGUAGGCAGCUUGCUAAACUAUAACUGACGCUCAGGCACGAAAGCGUGGGGAGCAAACAGGAUUAGAUACCCUGGUAGUCC
rnacentral:rRNA from 1 species